CCGGCCGAGGAGGGAGGGACGGAGCGAAAGACAGUGGUAUGAGCAAGAGAAACUAAGCUCGAACAAAGGAAGAAACUGAAAAAAUCCCCGGAAGGAUAUUAAUCAGACAAGACAUGAGUAACCUGAAGAAGAGCACUCUUCAUACUGACAAAGUGGAAAUGGCAUCUAUCCAAACACACUGGCUCAAUGAGCCUUGGUUUUGAUGACCUUAUGCCUUGUUGGCCUUCUAGUUUAACUGUGAGAGAAGGUUACAAAAUGAUAAAGAAGGAAAGGAAGAACCAAGGAAAAAAGGUAUGAAAGGACAAAUUAAAUCCUGGGGUCUUCAAAACAAAACCCAGUGACCUCAGUCAAAACUCUUUGCACAUAGAAAAAAAUCCUGAAAACCAGUGUUGCACACAGAGAAUGACACAUGGACAUGUUUGGGAAGUGGCAAAGGAGGA